rnacentral:rRNA from 1 species
UACGGAGGGUGCAAACGUUGCUCGGAAUCAUUGGGCGUAAAGCGCACGUAGGCGGUCCAGCAAGUCGGGAGUGAAAUCCCUCGGCUUAACCGAGGAAGUGCUUUCGAAACUACUGGACUUGAAUACUGGAGAGGGUCGCGGAAUUCCCGGUGUAGAGGUGAAAUUCGUAGAUAUCGGGAGGAACACCAGUGGCGAAGGCGGCGACCUGGACAGAUAUUGACGCUGAGGUGCGAAAGCACGGGGAGCAAAC